GUGAGGAAUAUUGCGCAAUGGAGGCAACUCUGACGCAGCCAUGCCGCGUGCAGGAAGAAGGCGCUACGCGUUGUAAACUGCUUUUAACCGGGAAGAAACCCCAGGACGUGUCCUGGGUUGACGGUACCGGAGGAAUAAGCACCGGCUAACUUCGUGCCAGCAGCCGCGGUAAUACGAAUGGUGCAAGCGUUAUCCGGAUUCAUUGGGUUUAAAGGGUGCGUAGGCGGAGCGUUAAGUCAGUGGUGAAAUCCUGCAGCUUAACUGUAGACUUGCCAUUGAUACUGGCGCUCUUGAGUGCGCUGGAAGUGGGCGGAAUGUGCCGUGUAGCGGUGAAAUGCUUAGAUAUGGCACAGAACACCAAUUGCGAAGGCAGCUCACUAAGGCGAUACUGACGCUGAGGCACGAAAGCGUGGGGAUCGAACAGGAUUAGAAACCCUUGUAGUCC
rnacentral:rRNA from 1 species